UGAGGAAUAUUGGUCAAUGGGCGAGAGCCUGAACCAGCCAAGUAGCGUGCAGGAUGACGGCCCUAUGGGUUGUAAACUGCUUUUAUAUGGGAAUAAAGUGAGGGACGUGUCCCUUAUUGCAUGUACCAUACGAAUAAGGACCGGCUAAUUCCGUGCCAGCAGCCGCGGUAAUACGGAAGGUCCAGUCGUUAUCCGGAUUUAUUGGGUUUAAAGGGAGCGUAGGCUGUUUGUUAAGCGUGUUGUGAAAUGUAAGAGCUCAACUUUUAGAUUGCAGCGCGAACUGGCAGACUUGAGUGCGCACAACGUAGGCGGAAUUCAUGGUGUAGCGGUGAAAUGCUGAGAUAUCAUGACGAACUCCGAUUGCGAAGGCAGCUUACGGGAGCGCAACUGACGCUAAAGCUCGAAGGUGCGGGUAUCGAACAGG
rnacentral:rRNA from 1 species